rnacentral:rRNA from 1 species
GAUGAACGCUGGCGGCGUGCCUAAUACAUGCAAGUCGAGCGAAUGGAUUAAGAGCUUGCUCUUAUGAAGUUAGCGGCGGACGGGUGAGUAACACGUGGGUAACCUGCCCAUAAGACUGGGAUAACUCCGGGAAACCGGGGCUAAUACCGGAUAACAUUUUGAACCGCAUGGUUCGAAAUUGAAAGGCGGCUUCGGCUGUCACUUAGGGAUGGACCCGCGUCGCAUUAGCUAGUUGGUGAGGUAACGGCUCACCAAGGCAACGAUGCGUAGCCGACCUGAGAGGGUGAUCGGCCACACUGGGACUGAGACACGGCCCAGACUCCUACGGGAGGCAGCAGUAGGGAAUCUUCCGCAAUGGACGAAAGUCUGACGGAGCAACGCCGCGUGAGUGAUGAAGGCUUUCGGGUCGUAAAACUCUGUUGUUAGGGAAGAACAGGUGCUAGUUGAAUAAGCUGACACCUUGACGGUACCUAACCAGAAAGCCACGGCUAACUACGUGCCAGCAGCCGCGGUAA